UUUGAACAAUGAUACUUGUUAAAUGUACAUUGUAUGAUUAAUGUGUUGAAGGAAGUAAAGUGCUCCUGUAAGUAUUUUGAAAAUUACAAUUUUUAUCAUUUUUGAAGUUUUAGUUUGAAGCUAUUUUGAAGUCAAUUACAUUGAUGAUCAUUAAUAUAUUGAAGUCGAGUUCACAUUUAUUAAAGAUGUGACAGACAGUGAUACAUUUUAGCCUGCUCACCUUAAAUGCAGGCGGUCAUGUAUCCGUGCUAUUCACAGCCGUGUCAAACCAGGCAAAAUAGUAUUUGCUGCUUUGUGCUAAGAAUGUGGCUAAAAGAACAAGAACAUUGACUAUUCGACUCAGAGUGUGAACAUUGUGUCUUGGUAGACUGACACUAGAGCUUUCUUUUUUGUCAGAUUUUGACACAACUGUCAUUCUAGUACAAAUCAGGGUUUACAUUUUCUUAACAUUAUAUAAUAUCUCGUUAACCGGAUCUCGUCCAGAGUUCUUCAUAGACAGAAACAGUAUUACAGUCAUUCCUCAAAUAUGUAUACCACUCCCAGACCAUCAAUUCAAACAGUUGUACAUUUAUAAAUAUAAGAAGAUGUGGUAUGAGUGCCAAUGAGACAACUCUCCAUCAAAGUCACAAUUUAUAACAGUAAACCAUUAUAGGUCAAAUUACAGUUUUCAAAACGGAGUUUGGGUCACACCGAACAGCAAGAUAUAAAAGGACCCAAGGAUGACUAGUGUAAACCAUUCAAACGUGAAAUACAACGGUCUAAUCUAUAUAAAAAACGAGAAACAACAUCAACAAACGUCAGCUACAUUUACUUAACAUCAGAUUCCUGACUUACAUGUAAGACAGAGGAAAACUGUUGCAGCGGGUUUAAACGUUUUAAUGAUCUUUAAUAGGUAACAACCUUCACCCUUAUCUAAUACAAUAAUGUACGUAACAUCACAACAUAGAAAGAUCCACUAUAAACUAUCUAUAAGAAUCGCUUGUAAGAAAAAUCUAAAGUCAUGAUACUUUGAGUGUCAUGGUAUAUUACACUUGGCCUUAGGAUUGAAUGAAUGGACUUUAAAUCGUUUUAAAGUUUUUCUUGUGUGUGUUUAUAUAAGGGCACGCAUCAUUACACAUAGGGGUUAAUUUAUAUGCCGUGGUUCACGUUUAUAUUUAUAGUGUACAUAUUUAUGACGGGUGUUUAAAAAGUUUCAAUGCGUCUUUUUUGAUUGUAUUAAUUGGAUUACUCUAAUUACUUCCCUUAGAUAUAUUAAUUCCUAUUUAUAUAUUAUUUUCGGUAAGUUUGCAUAUUUUUAAGAAUAUAUUAUUUUAAUAUUGGAAACCUGAUUAUACAAAAUUAUUCUCCUUUAAAGCAUUUUAAAGACACCCAGGUUUUUUCGCAAGUUAUGUUUUAUAAAUAGAGAAAUAUUAAAUGGCAACACGUUUUCUAUUGAAAAAUUUGUCUACAAAUUAUUUAAAAACCGGUUCAAAAUAUAAAUGAUCUAGAAAUAUAACUACAGAUUAACACACUUGAAUAUGGAAAUAGUCUUGAAAUAGAUAGAAGUACAAAUACAUACAUGAUAGACAACCUUGGAUGUGAAUUGACUACAUAUGAGUAAUAGGGUGGCUGUUUCAUAAUAGGAUUUUCACCCACCAUAUCCAAAACGAUAAUGAAUUUAUGUAAUACGAACAGCGCUUUGUAUUCGAUUGACAAUUGUAUUCAUAUUUUGAACUUGAUUGAUCACAAAUUAGGGAGCAACGAUACAACUACAAAGAAAGAGGGGGGUAUGGUUUUUGAUUGAGUCAGGAAUUUUUAUUCGCGAACAAUUAUAUUUAGUUUUUCAACCAAAUUAUUUUGUUCAAUAUUAAAUUAACACUAUACGGUAUGGGGAAAACCUGGAUUAAAAAUAUUUUUUCGAACGCUUGAACAGAAUAUUUUGGCAAGCCAUAUUCCCCUGAAGUUAAAAGGUCGUUCCCUUAAUUUGUUGACUUUUUUUAAAACAUCGAAAAAUCCUUCUACUAUAACGUUAUUUUGUGACAAAAUCAUAUUUCAUCAUUCAGUAAUCGGUUUUGUCUUAUAAACAACUUUUAAUUUGUUCAUUGUUGGGGGCUUAAGUGCCCUAUAGGUGUCACAAUCCUCGUCCUUCUGUCUCGAUAGAAAAGCUGUCUUGUUUACAAAUACACCCCAUCUCGUUAUUUUGAUAUUUGACUCGCCAGAAAAUAACAAAUUACUAUAAUCAAAUAAUACUAUUGGGUGGCUUAUACGAAAGUAUUGGUUGACGUAGUCGAUUAGGUACAACAUGGACACACCAAGGUCCUGCAUGCAGUCACCCGAAACAGGAUGUUUUCCCACAAUGUUGACUGCUGUACCUCUAUGUUUUACAUUCUAACCAAUCAUGCCUGUUUGUCUUGCUUACACAUUGUUGUCAAUAUAAUGGAAUUUUAUGCAACUGUCAUACAUUUAAGAGGAUUUAUAAGCAUAUCUAUACAACCAGAUUUUCUACAGAAGAAAAUGCCUGUACGAAGGCGUGUAACACUUAUCAAUUCAAAAUAUCAAUAUGUCAGUUGUUUUCCAUUUGUUUGAUGUGUUUGAGUUUUUGAUUUUGCCAUUUGAAAAGGGACUUUCCUUUUGGUAUUUUGGUUAUUUAGGGGACGACCAUUUGAUAUUCUGGAGGGGGGGGGGGCAGGAGGAUUUGUUUUUGAUCGGUUAUUUAUUUUUGUAAACUGAGAGGACACAUUAUUCAUUUUCUGCACUAUUGAAGCAAGAUUUUUCAUUUUCAUUAAACCAAGGGACUGAUUAUUAAUUUUUACCACUAUAUAUAUGACAUUUGAAAACAUACAAUUUUUUAAAUAUUCGUUAAUUAUGAAUAGUUAGAUAUAGGAAGAUGUGGUGUGAGUGCCAAAUGAGACAACUCUCCAUCCAAAUAACCAUUUAAAAAACGGAAAACCAUUAAUACAUGUAUAGUCAAGUCAUUGUGUACCAUUUAAUCAGAAUACUAGUAGAUCAUUAUCCCCUUCAGAAAUUUUAAGAUUCAAAAAUUCAUUCAUAACCUCAGACACAUACUUGUGUACAAGUAGACAAUAUAUACAAACAUUUUAAGAUAAUACAUAGUGAGAAAGGACAAACGAAACACAAAUACAUAGUAAUAAGUAUAUUACAAUCUGACGAUCUACGUCUUCAAUAUGGUGUGCCUCAAGGCUCUGUUCUAGGACCAAAGUUAUACUGCAUGUACUCGAAACCUGUUGGUGAAAUAUGCAGGCGACAUAAAAUGCUUUACCACUCGUAUGCCGACGACACUCAGGCAUAUCAAGUGAUUAAACCGGAAGGUGAUUGGGACGAUCUAUCCGACCGUUUGAAAGCGUGUUUGUCAGAGAUAAGCGAUUGGAUGACAUCAAAUAUGCUGAAACUAAAUCAGGACAAAACAGAGCUCAUCGUCUUUGCUCCGAAACAUCGAGUCAAACAGUUAUCCAAGUAUGAGCUACCCUUCGAUGGCACUAUUUUAAGUGAUGCGAACUGUGUUAGGAAUCUAGGAGUGUUCUUUGAUAAGACCUUGAGUAUGGAACAGCAGGUAACAGCCGUCUCAAAAUCAUGUUACCACCAGAUUCGAACCAUCGGAAACAUUAGAUCGUAUAUCACCGAAAAUGCGUGUAAGACACUAGUCUGCUCUCUUGUCACCUCCAGAUUAGACUAUGGGAACGCUUUGCUAUAUAAUGUUAACUCUUCCACUAUAGCAAGACUACAACGCGUUCAAAACACAGCAGCUAGACUUAUCACAAGAAAAAGGAAGUUUGACUCUAUAACACCUGUUCUGAUGCAGCUACAUUGGCUCCCCAUGAAAUACCGAUCACAUUUUAAACUUUUACUUUACGUUUUUAAGGCAUUACACGAUAAAGCACCUAAAUAUUUGAAAGAACUGAUUGUACCAUACGCUCCUAUUAGAACACUUCGGUCAGAAAAUGAAGGACUCAUAACGAAUCCAAGAGAUGUCCGCACUAAAACAUACGGUGAAAGACGAUUCGACCGAGCUGGAGCUACAUUGUGGAAUGACCUACCAAUUAAUUUACGGAGAGAACAAUCGCUUCCUCGUUUUAAAAAAGGUUUGAAGACACAUAUUUUUAGACUGGCGUACUGUGAUGUGUAAGAAAUGUGAUAAUUUAUUAUUAUUCUAAAAAGUUUAAGUGAUAGGAUCUUUUUUAUUUUUAACUUAUUUAAUUUUUUAGUUUUGACGAUUUUAUUGAAUAGACAGUUUUAUUUAUCUUUUCAUUGUGUUUUACUGGAAUGUAAAUACUUAUAAUUUUCAUCAUUAUUCUUUUAUUGACUGUUAUAUUUAAUAUGUUUUAUGGUAUUCAUUGUGAUAUAUAUUUCCCCUGUCAAUGCUCUUAAUUUCCAUCAUUAUUCUAUUUAAUUUCUGUUUUAUUCUUAUGUUCAUAUAUAUAUAAUUGCUAUUAUUGUAUGCAUUGUGAUAUAUAUUUUCCUUCAAUUUUAUAUGUUAAGCGCUUAGAGUAUUAUGUUUAUUAGAUAGGCGCUAUAUAAAAGCUAUGUAAUAAUAAUAAUAAUAAUAAUAUAUUAUAAAAGACAAUUGGUAUACUAGAUUAAGUAUUUUAUAAUUUUCUUAACAAACUGAAUCAUUUAUAUUCCAAAGCAAUAUACACAUAUUGCAUACAUACAUAGUAUUAAAGUUAAUUUAGUUUGGUUUUAGCUAGCCUCUAUCAAAAGUAGUGUCAAACAUAUUUUGCCGAGCGGAGCGAGGCAAAACAAAUUUUGAAGGGUUUUGGAACCGCUGAAGGUCCAAUAAGCUAUAGACCUGCUGAGUUAUUUAUUUUCAAUACAUUGUAAGUCAGGUAAUUUAUUUUCAAACUGCCACAGAACAAACCAUUUAUUUUUGGGAUUAUCAAGGCUGAGUUAUUUAUUUUCAAAAUCCUCCUGCCCCCCCCCCCCCCCCAGAAUAUCAAAUGGUCGUCCCCUUAACUGUUUCCAUAUUUUAUUCUACACUUUAUUCACAAUUAAAAGUCUAGUAAUUUUCACUUAUUAUUUCUAAUCUCUGGUUUGACUUGUACAAGUCCUAAUCCCAUCACGUAUUGUACGGACCUUUAAAUAGAUUGGAGUCAACAACAAAACAUAUAUUAAUACAAACGACCUUUAAACAACUAAGGUCAAAUAUGAUUUUUAACCGGAUUUUUGUGACAAAAAUGUCGGUUAUUGAUUUGGGGAUGCUCGGCGGGCGGGAGGGCGGCAAACUAUGUUGUCCGUGCAUUAACUCAUGAACCGUUCAACCAAAGCUUUUAAAAUUUUAAUAUGUUGUUACUGACAACUAAAUGAAGGUCAAGUUCAAUAAUGGCGAUUUUGACUUUUACCGUUCAGGAGUUAUGGUUCUUGAAAGAUUGAAAAAUGGAGUUUCCAGUGGUGUCCGUUCAUUUAAGCAUGAACUGUUCUUCCAAAGCUUCCCAAAUUUUAAUAUGUUGUUACUGGUGACAAAAUGGAGGUCAAGUUCAAUAAUGACGAUUUUGACUUUUACCGUUCAGGAGUUGUGGUUCUUGAAAGAUCGUAAAAUGGCGUUUCCAGUCGUGUCCGUGCAUUUUCUCAUGAACCAUUCAACCAAAGCUUUUCAAAUUUAAUAUGUUGUUACUGAUGACAAAAUAGAGGUCAAGUUCAAUAAUGACGAUUUUGACUUUUACCGUUCAGGAGUUAUGGUUCUUCAAAGAUCGUAAAAUGGUGUUUCCAUUCACGUUGUUGCAUUUACUCACGAACCAUUCAAUCUAAGCUUUUCAAAUUUUAAUAUGUUGAUACUGAUGACAAAAUGGAGGUCAAAUUUGAUAUUGACGAUUUUCACUUUCACCAAUCAUCAGUAAUGGUUCUUGUGAUAUUGCCAGGACACAAAUAAAUAUUAAUAAAUCCGGUUUGCUGUCGUUGUGACAGCCUCUUGUUAAGAUUACAUUCAUGUCAGCCAUAUUGAAUACUUUAUUCAGCACAGAGUACAGCCAUAAAAGGGUCAAAGGCACUACAAUUAUGUGAAGGAAUAACAAUAUGAUAAAGUCAUUAAUUUUAAAGGCGUUAUAUAUUUCAAACUGUUUAUAAUAUUGGUGGGAAAAUUGUAUACAAUUUGAAAAAAUAUGACCUAAUGAUAGUAUUAUAACUUAAAUGGUUAUAAUUACGACUCUUGUUAUUAUAUUGUAAUUUUUUAUUAAAUCACUGCCCUUUUGUCAAUAUCGCAGUUUACCAUUCAACCUUCGCCACAAAAAUAGUAUUUUUCUGGUGAUUGAUCAAAAUAUAGGUGAGAAUUCGAGCGUUAAAAAGAGUUUACUGGCUUAAUGGUUUGGUUGUUGCAAAAUUUUCAUAGAAGGGUUCACACUAUAUUUUGUCUAUUACAUGUUCCUUAUUGAGGAGGCAAAUUAAAACCUUAAGUUGCAUGUUUCUUUAGAACAACAAAUACAUGUUUGUCUUUUUAUUUUUUUCUGAAAGCAAUCUGUUUGGUCAGAAUUUCUUUUCUGACAGUUGUUUUCCAUGCGCAUUUGUUGUGUAAACAAAACUGCAACAUGCCUUGACUAAACUCUUAUUAUUAUUCUGGUCAAAGUCUAAAUAAGUUUAAAGAAAAAUGGACGAGAUUAUAUUCCGUAAAGGACGUACAUUAAAAAUGUUUGGACACUGUCAAAAGUUCCUCAAAAACGUUUGCGGAGUUUUUUGGCUCUAACUUUGAAAUUGAUAACUGGGCUUCCGCUGUAUGAUCAGUGCUAUGAUAUGUAAAUUAUUGUUUUGUUUAAUAAUUCGAUUUAUAUUUUGUACUCUUGCGGUAAUUUAUUCCGGUCAACCCAUAACACUUAUGUAUUUGUAAAAAAUUCAAGUAAGCCAUUACACAUGUAGUGUCCAAUGUUAUAUGAGCAAUUCAUGUGUAUAUCAUAGCACUCAUUUAGAUAAAUAUUGUAGGACAUAUUGCAGACAUGAAAAGCAUUUUUUUUUAUCAAUGUUGCAAAAUAACCAUUCAACACGAAACAAACAAAAUAAAUUUAACCUUAUCACGACAAAUAGUCAUUUAGGUUGAUAAUUGAAUAAAAUAAGAACCUUUUUGUGGUAUUUUUAUACGCCUUGUACAUGACAGAGGAAUGCCAAUAUACAUAUGCAAUCAUAAUCAUACACGUAUUAUGUUAGGAAUCUUAAUGUUUGUUUGUGGGUAUGUUUUUAUUCUAUUUAACAAGACACACUAUGUAUCACACUUUUUGUGUCAUUCUAAUUAAAAAAACAAAACUUUUAACCCCGAGGAAACAAAGAUUUGAACAAUUGGGUAUCAGAUAAUAACAUGGCAGAUAAAAUCUCCGAAAUGGCUGUCUCUUUCGGUAUCAAAAAUGCAUAGUGGAUAAAAUCUUUGAAAUGUUAAUUUAAAAAACAAACAUAUUACGUGUGUAUAUGCUCUUAGUAGAUUUAAAACAUAUCUGUUGUAUGCAAACUUUUCUAAAGGCACACUACUCAGUUUGUGCUCUAAUUCGAAAAUACAUCGCACGUGUUCAUACAAAACAGAUGGUAUUUACUUUUGCUCUUACAAAAUGAAGUGGUUUUAACAUGUAUUUUAUGCAUGCAAACUUUUCUUAAGACAAAAUUGAUACGAAAGUCUGUUUGUGAUCAUACUAAUGACUGUAAGGAAACAUUCAUUCAAUUUGUGAGCACGGAAAUUUAUAUAAUAUCCAGUUUCUUCCGACUACUUCAAUUUAUUUUUGGGUUCCUUCUUUUUUUCUUCAUUAUAAUUUCCUUUCAAACUUAAUUGAUUAUGUAAUGAUUAUGAUAAUUUGGCCUUCAAAUCGUGUUUUGUACGGAUACCUUUCAUCAAAUAUCAAAAGUUUAAAAUUAAAUCUUCAAAAUAAACAGAAUGAAGAUCGUUUAAUGUACAUUAUACGUGGUAAAAAGUGGACCACACGCUUUUGAAAUGUUGGACAUAAGGGAUAAGAAGUGGGAAUGUGGGAUAUAGAGGGUACGUGAGAAAAUGAAAAAAAACAACAAACAACGGAUGUUGGAAUAACCCAAAAAAUGUAUAAAUUGGGAAAAAUCACAAAAAAAUGUGGGAUUUAGAAAAUGAAAACCCCCUAGCCUCCCCGUCCUUGAGAGAAGAGUUUAAAGGGGUGCUAAGUAGUUUAUAAAAUUAUGAUUACGAUUCAAGUUAUUAUUCAUAUUUCUAAAUUAAACAAAGACAUUAUCUUCAAGAUAGCAAGAAAACUUAAAACUUCACAGUAUCUAUAUCUGUUUAUAUUAAAAUACCUUAAUCACUGUGAAAUUUCUCUUAAUUUUCAUAAAUAAAUUCCGGUUAACGAUAUGAAAAUUUGAUGGAUAUUAACAUUCUGGUAUUUUAAAUUAUUUAUUGGACACAUAACACUAAUCAAAACUAUUGGAAGUAAUGCACUAUGUAAGUAUAAGCUUUGAUACUAGUUACCUUUUUUAUACACUUCAUAUUAACACUAUAGACCCUUUUUUUUCUUAUACGUUUUUUCAGGGUUUUUUUAAAACUUUAUUUUAUUAUUUUGUGAUUAAUUUGUACAAUGAAGCAACUCAAAUUGAAACAUAGGCUAGCUAAGUGGAAUACAAGAGCUAGAAUCCUUGAUUCAUUUCACUCAUAUUUGAUUUCCGCAAAAUUGGAGUGAAUUAGUUUUAAGUUACACGUUUUGUCGUUUGAUUGUUUUUUUUUACAUAACAGUUUGAAAGUAGAUAUUUUUAGAAUGAUAAUUAUGUUGAUACCAGGGGCCUCGAUGGUCUAUGUUGUUCUACUUCUUUCAAAAUGACUAGCCAGUCAACACUGAGGUUUUAAGAAUAACGCCACUCGUGUAGAUGCACUAGACUCCAAUCUUUAUCGACUAUGAUUGUUAGUCUUCCUCUCAAACAUCGGUGUUUUUUCCGGGGACUCCGGCUACCUAUACCUGUCUAAUAAAAACUGACCGUCACGAAAUAGCCCAAAAUUGGCGCUAAGCUUUAAAGUGGCGUUAAAACACCAAUAAUAAAUCAAUCAAUCACUGUUUACAUUAUGACAUAUACGCUAUUUGAUCUCUGUUUCACAGCGUUUAACUAGCUAUACGUAUUUUUAAAUGAUUAGAACUACAAACUACAAACAUCUAAGCUUUCACUUCAUUUUAGAAGCUGGUGUCAUCAUAAAUGUUACAAUUUAUUUUGAAAUUAAGGUUCAUUUCAGAAUGACGCGAUAUAUCUGUUUGCCAAUCAGAAUAACAUAGUAUAAUGAAACAUACAUCUAUAAUGUGAUUAAAUAACAAUGAUUACCCAAAUUUACAAAAAAAUGAUAUUUUAAAUAAGGCAUGUUAGUCUUGUUUUAUCUAACGGUUUCACUUGUUAUAUCCCGCUUCCCCUUUAAAUAUAAUAAAACUUCACUACAAAAGGAUAACUCAUUUUACCGUUAAGAUAUUUUCAUAUCGUCAGAAAGAUGUCAUAUAAAAAAAUAAGUAGAUUAUGUAUAUUUGUCAAUGAAAGAACUAUCCACAAAAGUCCGCGAGACAAAUUUAUGAAAGGAUUAUAUAUGAUUAGUUUGCUACAGAUAAAUUAAAUUAAAAGGUGUGAUUUAUUGACAACGAUCGCUUUUAAAAUGCCCUGACAUUUGCCACUGGACGAUAAUUUUCGCAAAACAACUACCGACAUCGAGACACCUCUUGAUGUUAUUUUGAGAUAGAUUUAUUCAUUGCUAAAUUAUCAGGUAUUUUUUAUCACCUCAAUCCCCUAAUGUUACUUGAAAUGAUUCAAAGCAAUGCUGUCUUAGAACUUGGCACGCUGUAUGACUCGUAUGUGUCUGUAAAUUUUGACAAUGUAAUCUACGUAUAUCUAUUUACAUUUAACUUGUAAUGUUUGAUAAUUGUUUCAAUUACAUUGACGCUACAUACUGUUUUCAUAAGUUUUACUAAAUGCAAUCGUGCCAAGUUUGAAAUUGGUUUAAAAUUAUGCAAUUGAAAUUAUAAACUAUAAUAGAUGCACAUCGUGAUAAUAUCAUGCGCAGAUGUGCACGUUAGCUAAUACAAGUAGUAUGCAUAUACCGUUGAAAACUCAUUUGUAGACUCAUUCUUAAUAAUAAGAAAAUGUCUAUUGUUUGCGAUUAUUUCACAUGAGUUACACGCGAAGUCAAACUCUAUAUAUCGUCAUUCAAAACUAUUAUGGACAAAAGAAAUUUCAAUACAGUUUUAGAUUGGUUUUACCGGAAAAAGAAAAAUGGCGAAAAAAAAUUAAAAAUAGAAAAAAGUGUCGCAGAAAUUAAAAAAUGAGACACGAACAUCAUGAAUGAAUAAACAAACAUGUUGAUUGUUAAUGGUUAUUUUAAACGCAGAGUAAUGUUCACUAAUCGGUUACUACGAUUUUAUAAUCAGUAAAACAAUCUCACAAAAUUUUACUUUUGCAUAUUACAAAAGAGUUUUGAUAGAUUUUUAUUUUUGUUAUAAAACUUGCAUCAUUUGGAUACGUUUUAGGGGGUUUCCCACUUAUAUCAUGUGCCAACUAGACAGGUGUAAAGUUUCAAAACCAAAAUUACUUCAUACCUUGUUACUUUUUAGUAAAAACGUUUAUUGUAAGGAUUAAAAAAUCGUAAAGUAAGUAUUGAACUAUAAAAAUUAUGUAUGUUGUUUAAAUCAUUUAAAAUAUGCUUUGGUACUUAAAAUUUUAUUAAAUGAUUAUAAAAAUAUAUUAACCAUGUAAUUGCCAAUCUCAACAAGACUGCUACGUUUUUACCAUAACAUUUCUUAACAACUAAAGGUGGUCGUGUGGUCUAGCGGGACGGCUGCAGUGCAGGCGAUUUGGUGUCACGAUAUCACAGUAGCAUGGGUUCGAAUCCCGGCGAGGGAAGAACCAAAAAUUUGCGAAAGCAAAAUUUACAGAUCUAACAUUGUUGGUUGAUGUUUAGACGAGUUGUAUAUAUAUAUAUAUAUAUAUAUAUAUUUAUAUAUAUUAUAUAUAUAUAUAUAUAUAUAUAAUUGUAUAAUAAUAUAAUAUAUAUGUCAUAACUAGAUGUUUUGGUACAACAUAUUUCAAAAAGCUGCUAUGUGUACUUUUAUUUGAAGUAAUGUGUACGAAAAGUAAAUAACAUGAUUUUUUUUAAAUAAUUUUUUUAAAUGGUUUACAGAGCCAGAAAUAGUACUACAUGUAAAUAAAUACCGUCGAAUAACACACGUCUCGACUGCGGUUGAUUUAGUUUAUUUAUUAAUGGCGUGUACCUUUUCAAUUGAUAGGAACCGCUUUUUUGUAUUAUGAAACUAUAAUUCUAGUGGUCAAACUACAGUACAUGUAUCAAUAGACUGUCAACACUGAGGUUGUGAUUACAUGACAUUUUGCCAUUUGUUUUUGGGACUUUCUGUUUUGAAUUUUCCAUGGAGUUUAGUAUUUUUGUGAUUUUAAUCCUCACCAGGUAAUCCGGUUUCCUCCGCCAUAAAAAAAAACCAAAUCUCACCGCCUCGAAAUAGCGCAACAGUGCUGAAAUUGGCAUUAAACUUCAAUUGAUCAAUCCAAGCAAUAUUCAAAACUUUAAAUAUAUUAUGAGAGCAACGGAUAUAAUAAGCUUUUUGCAUACUCCUAAUUCGUAUGUUUUACAUGUUUUAACAAAAAAAAAAGAGACCAAAAAGAUAUUCGGAAUAAAAAUAUAUAUGUGUAAUUAAUAUCUAGAAUCUUAAGAUAAAACUAAACACAAAAUACUGUUUAAUGAGAUAACAUCCGGGGAACAGUGCUCAUAUUCCGACCUCCCAUUAGCCAUACACCUCCGUUCGCUGCACCACACUGUUGACGUCCAAUGGUUAUUAUUUCAGAUAUUUUCAGUACUUGACCAAAUUAACAGUUCAUACACUAGUACAUGUAUGUCUACUUAAUAGCUUGACUGUAAUGUGUUGUGAACAAUUUGGAUUGUCGCUGUAAAAUGAGGGCAAAUUGAAUAUAUAUUUGAAGAACUUUCAUCUUACUAAAACCGCCUAAAGCCUAAGGAACCCACCAGAUUAUUGUGUUUUUGGUAUAGGUUUUGGACUUUUCUUUUACAUUUAGAAAAUAUUUAGCAGUGACGGUCUAUUUGAAUUGAGUUUGACCCGCUUGUCGAUUUUAUUACUUUUUCCAGGACAACAAGAACGCUAAAGGAGGGGAAUUUAUUUUUAUAUUUUCUGUUACUUAUGUUAGUUAUUUCGAUAGUUAUAUUGCACAUAUCAUUAUAUUUUUGUUUAUUUAUCAGUAAUAAAUCGAUUGUCCUCAAGUUUAAGUUGUGCAUUCAGGAAGUUUAAUAUUUGUUUUAUAUAUUUUAUUCAUGAUAUUGAGAGAUAUAUGGAUUAUUUUAUAUUUGUUUUAUAUAUUUUAUUCAUGAUAUUGAGAGAUUUAUGGAUUAAGUGGAAAUUAGAUUACGUAUUUUUUUUUGUACUGAUGCAAGAACAUUUAAAACCUGUUCUUAUCAUAUAUACGCGUUAAGACCUAUUGCAUGGUGGCCUUCGAUUGAUCGGGUUGUUGUCUCUUUGACAUAUUCCCCAAAUUUCCAUUCUCAUUUUUUUAUGUAUUUUAGGGAAUCUGUAAUGAGUGCAAAAUACAGAAUAGACGAUCCUUAUAAUUCCCACGUGACAGAAAAUAGCCAACACAAAUCAACUGAAGAAUCUGGUGCCCAAGCGUAUGACAAUGCCAUGUAUCAAAGUGGAUCAGAGUUAAAACACUGCCACAAAGUGGAAGAGAAUGAAGUUCAAAUAACGCUAAAUGACGGCAGUGACAAUAUAAUUAGUCCGAAUAAUGGACCGAAUAAUAAUGGCACAAAUCAUGCAAUCAAGGAUGGGAACAGGUAUGGAGGGGGAUAGGACCUUUAUCGGGACUCCGGGAUCGGGUGUUUUUAAGCUCGGGAUUUCGGGAUCGACCCUUUCGGGAUCCGGGAAUCCUUUUUUUCGGAUUUCGGGAUGUCGGGAUUUGCUUUAUUUAAAUUCGGGACCUCGGGAUUUCGUUUUUUCAAGUCCGGGAUUUCGGGAUCAAGACCCCUCCUAUCCCCCCUCAGGUAUGCGUAUUGUAUUUAGCUAGAAAAUACUG
rnacentral:lncRNA from 1 species